rnacentral:rRNA from 1 species
UACCAGCUCUCCGAGUGGUGUGGAUGUUUAUUUGGCCUAAAGCAUCCGUAGCUGGCUGGGCAAGUCCCCUGUUAAAUCCACCGAUUUAAUCGUUGGAAUGCGGGGGAUACUGUUCGGCUAGGGGACGGGAGAGGCAGACGGUAUUUUCGGGGUAGGGGUGAAAUCCUAUAAUCCCGGGAAGACCACCAGUGGCGAAGGCUGUCUGCUAGAACGCGCCCGACGGUGAGGGAUGAAAGCUGGGGGAGCGAACCGGAUUAGAUACCCGGGUAGUCCCUGCUGUAAACGAUGCAGGCUAGGUGUUUGGGCGGCUACGUGCCGCUCUAGUGCCGCAGGGAAGCCGUUAAGCCUGCCGCCUGGGGAGUACGGCCGCAAGGCUGAAACUUAAAGGAAUUGGCGGGGAGCACCACAAGGGGUGAAGCUUGCGGUUU